AGUGAACGCUGGCGGUAGGCCUAACACAUGCAAGUCGAACGGCAGCACAGUAAGAGCUUGCUCUUACGGGUGGCGAGUGGCGGACGGGUGAGGAAUACAUCGGAAUCUACUUUUUCGUGGGGGAUAACGUAGGGGAACUUACGCUAAUACCGCAUACGACCUACGGGUGAAAGCAGGGGAUCUUCGGACCUUGCGCGAUUGAAUGAGCCGAUGUCGGAUUAGCUAGUUGGCGGGGUAAAGGCCCACCAAGGCGACGAUCCGUAGCUGGUCUGAGAGGAUGAUCAGCCACACUGGAACUGAGACACGGUCCAGACUCCUACGGGAGGCAGCAGUGGGGAAUAUUGGACAAUGGGCGCAAGCCUGAUCCAGCCAUACCGCGUGGGUGAAGAAGGCCUUCGGGUUGCAAAGCCCUUUUGUUGGGAAAGAAAAGCAGCAGGUUAAUACCCCGCUGUUCUGACGGUACCCAAAGAAUAAGCACCGGCUAACUUCGUG
rnacentral:rRNA from 1 species